GUUAGUCUUAUCGCGGUCGAUUAUUGAAUUUACGAAAUUACGCUUAACAAUUUUAUUAACAAGCAAACAUGAGUGACUUGCUUGACGACGAUCUGGAGUUCCGCGGCGGUACGCUGCAGCUGUCUUCGGAGAAUAACACUGAAGAGCAAGGUGGUAGUAGUAAUACACUGGGUGUCAACACAAGUAAGCCCUCAGUAUUGUCUGGUGCGGACUCUUUGCCAUCGAAUUCGUCUACAUCGUCUCUUGCCGAAGGAAGGCCACAAGAAGCCAACGCCUCAGCAGCACCACCUGAACCACAAACUGUGUACCCCCGCUACGAUGUACCGUUCAACCGAGAGAACAUCCAGGAUUUCUUCACAUUCCGGAAGGGAGUUGUCGAGAGUGCCAUACAAGAGUGUAUCACAGUGCUGUUGUUCCCUGAGGAUGGGGAGUACCUUGGUUCAUGGUUAUUGACAGAAAUAACCCUAUGGGACAAUGAGAAGGAGCGGAUAGUCCUGCUGACGUCCCGGUUGGUGAUGACCAUAAAAUACGACUUCAUUGCCAUGAAGCAGCUAGACUUCAAGAAGACGUACCUCGACGAUCUGGACACCAUCGUUAUUGGGGAGCUGGUGUACCCACCCUCCUCUUUAGUUCCUCGGUUAAACGGCAUAGCGACGGGCGUGACGACCGUGGUGAAGGACGUCGUCAUAGAUCGCCUGUGCCGGCGGCCGAGCGACGAGGGGGACGCCAAACUCUUCGAUUACAAGUAUUUUGAACCUAGAGAACGCAACCUCCGCGGAGUCCGACUGAUGUGGAAUAAAGGAGAGCCGCUACCGCUGAAAAUGGCGUGGAACCCUUUUAGUCAAGACGUCCCGUUUAUUACUUUCGCGUCUCAUCCGAUUUACUGGCAUAAAGAUGACGAGGUCGAAGAGCGUUCCACAUACGACAUGGAAAUCUUCGCCCAGAAGUUACAGAGGGCCGUCGAAGCUAUGGCCUCAUCCUCCUGCUGUAUACACCACGCGCCCAUAGUCAUACAGAGUUACGUAGGUGUGACGUCAAUGUUACAUAAUAAGACCAGUAUGGGCUUCUUCAAGGUCAGAGGGAAGUUUAGUUUCUAGAUUAAUGUCUAAAUACUGUGCAAUAAAUUUUAUGGGAAGCUGUUCUAAAUAAGGUGGGCCAUUUGAAUAUGUGUACACCACACACCUAAAGUUAUACAAAGUUACGUAGGUGUGACGUCAAUGUUACAUAAUAAGACCAGCAUGGGCUUCUUCAAGGUCAGAGGGAAGUUUAGUUUCUAAUUACCAUAGUAUCAGAGAUAUAUGUCUAAGUUGUUCUAAACAUUCUAAAUAUACGCCAUUUGAUAACAAAUACAGAGGGCCGUCGAAGCUAUGGCCUCAUCCUCCUGCUGUAUACACCACGCGCCCAUAGUCAUACAAAGUUACGUAGGUGUGACGUCAAUGUUACAUAAAAAGACCAGCAUGGGCUUCUUCAAGGUCAGAGGGAAAUUUAGUUUCUAAUUACUAAGGCCUGUGUGUUAUAUAAAUUAGUAACCAUGACAUACAUUUUAUGGGAAGUGGAACAUACAAAGUUACAGAUGUUGUGUAUAAUUGUUUUCCAUCGUAUUUCCUCCGAAACGUUCCUAUUUGUCAUGCUACUGCAGUCAACCUCAGUACUUUUUGUACCGAAACUAAUUGAAAUAACAAGACACGUUCGUACAUUUCCGUGAAAAUACGAUGGAAAACAGUUAUGCACUACAUUUGUACGUAGAUGUGAAGUCAUUGAUUUACAAUAAGACCAGUAUGGGAUUCUUCGAGGUCAGAGGGAAGUUUAGUUUUUAAUUACCGAGGCCUAUGAGUUAUGGAGGGUAGUAUAUAAUUAA